rnacentral:lncRNA from 7 species
GUAUAUAAUGCAUAUUACAUAAAUGGCGUAAUUAUGUUUUUACUGUACUUGAUGGAUUUUAACAUGCACUUUAAAUGUCAUGAUACUAUGAGCAGCAGCUGUAAAAAAUACCAUCUCACUGUUUCUUAUUUAUUUCCCCUGUCAGUGAUUUCCAAAGCAGUUUUAAAAGUCUGAAGGAGUGCUAACUACCACUAUUGCUAUCUCAGGAUGGUGGGCAAAUAUAUUUCUACCUGACACAUCCUCCUCCUCCACCAGUGCCAAUUAUAACUCAGAUGGACUCGGGGGAUUACUGACAAUUUCUUUAAUGGUGUGUGAGAGUUCCCAUUGCCCAUAUAGAUUUACUCUGCAACACAGACAGUGACAAAAAGAUGCCAUCUCUGUGUCAUACUGUCAAUGGAUGCCAUGGAGAGAAUCUCAAUGCCAUUUCAAAAUCUGCUAGCAGAGAGGAAAGUGAAGACUAAUCUGAGGAUUCAAAAUGGAAUGUUCAGCUUUGACUGAGACACCAGACUUUGCUGAAGUCUCAUAAUGACAAAGGAUUUGUAGCAAAACCAGUUCUUCAUGGAAGAGUCUGAGAACAUGAGAAAAAAAAAGAGCAGAAAUGGUACUUAGAGCAUACUUGAUAGAGCAGUGUGAGGACCAAUAUACGUGCUAACUGGGCCUGGAAAAUUAAAUCCUCCUUUGUAUAGAUUAUUCUUUUGAAGAAUCUGAGUAUACUUUGCUCAAGGCUUUCUUUCCCUGAUUAUUUUGUGAAGAAUGAGAGAGUUAGAACUGUAUAAGAAUAGAGUAAUUAAGGUUAGCAAAGACCAAUAAGAUCAUCUAGUCAAACUGUCAACACAUCCUCAACACGUCCUCUAACCAUGUCCUUCAGUCCAGUGCAUUACCACUCUUUUAGAGAGGUCAUUUUUUCUAACAUCCAAACUGAACCUCCCCUGGGACAACUUGAGGCUACUACUCAUCCCAUCACUAUUACCUGGGAGAAGAUGCUGACACCCAUCUAACCACAACCUCCUUUUAGGGAGUUGUAGAGAGCAAUAAAGUCUCCCAUGAGCCUCUUCUUCUCCAGACUGAACAAUCCCAGUUGCCUCAGCUGCUCCCCAUAACACUUGUCCAGAUCCUUCACAACUUCAUUGCCCUUCACUGAACACACUCCAGGGCCUUGAUGUCUUUCUUGCAGUGAGAGACCAAAACUGACCACAGUACUCAAAGUGCAGUCUCUCCACUGCUGAAUACAUGGGGACAAUUAUUUCCCUGCUCCUGCUGGCUGCACUAUUUCUGAUAGUAGUCAAGAUGCCAUUGGCUUUCUUGGCCACCUAAGCACACUCCUAGAUCAUGUUUAGCCAGGUGUCAAUUAACAUGCCCAGAUCCUUUCCCUCCGCACAGCUUUCCAGUCACUCUGCCUCAACCCUGUAGCGUUGCCUGGGGUUUCUUUGACCAAAGUGCAAGACCCAGCACUUGGUCGUCUGAAGCUCAUAAAAUUGGCCUCAGCCCAUCAAUCUACCCUGUUCAGUUCCCUCUGUAGGGUCUUCCUACUCUCAUGCAAAUCAACUCUUUCUGCCGCGUUGGUGUCAUCUGCAAACUUAGUGAGGCUGCACUCAAUCUCCUCAUCCAGGUCAUCAGUAAACAUAUUAAACAGGACAGACCCCAGUACCAACCACAGGGGAACACCACUCAUGACCAAUCACCAGCUGGAUUUAAUUCCAUUCAACCCCACACUCUGGGCCCAGCCAUCCAGCCAGGAUCCAAGUGGAUCCCAUCCAGCCCCUUGGACUUGUAACAGUCAUGACAAGGCCUACAUUUAUCUAGUUUGUUAUAUAGUGCUGCCUGUGUGAUAUCUGCUGUCAAUAGUCUGUGAAUAAACUAUAAUGAAAGAUACCUACUGUUGCACUUGCUUACAUGGACCACUGUGUUAUUUUACUACUGGUCUCACAGAUUAAUAACAAAAAACAUGUAGUGUAGUGGGCAUUACUAGAAGAUAUUUCAAUCAAGCCACAUUAAUUCAGUAUUGAAUAUACAAAUAUUAUGAAAUCGGAAGGUGUUAUGUACUCUCAUUUUUACAUACAAGAAAGUUUAAACAGUAAAUCUAAGGUCACCUUGGAGUUUAAUUUGGAAUAAAAUAAACACACUAUAUUUAAAAAGGAAAAAGUCCUAACUGAUUUAUCACCACUUACUCUUUCUUAUGGCAAGCAGGGCUAGAAAUAAUUACUGUCUGCGUAAAAUAUUCCUU